rnacentral:rRNA from 1 species
ACCUGGUUGAUCCUGCCAGUAGUCAUAUGCUUGUUCUAAAAUCUAAGCGGUGCGCGUCCAAGUGUCGGCUUCUAUACGAUGAAACUGCGAAUGGCUCACUGGAGCAGUUAUGGCCUAUUUGAGACUCAAUAUGCUACAUGAGCAACAGUGGAGACUCUACGGCUGAUACAUGCCCAAAUGCUAUAUCACUUGAGGGUAUAGUAGUGUUUAUUAGCUACAUAUUCCACACACCACGUGUGAUGUAGCAAAAGGUGAAUCAUGGUAACCGAACGGAUCACACUGUAAUCAUUUCGGUCACUGGCAAUGGAUCGUUAAAGUUUCUGACCCAUCAGUUUCGACGGUGGCGUAUUGGACUAUGGUGGCGGUGAAAGGUAACGGGAAAUUAGGGUUUGAUUCCGGAGAGGGAGCUUUAGAAACGGCUACCACAUCUAAGGGAGGCAGCAGGCGAGCAGAUUACCCAAUCCUGACUCAGGGAGCUAGUGAUAAGAAUUGACGACACUGGGUAUUCUAUUUCUAGUGAUUGGAAUGAUGGGAAUCCAAACCCCUUUCAGAGUAACAAUUGGAGGGCAAGUCUGGUGCCAGCAGCCGCGGUAAUUCCAGCUCCAAUAGCGUAUAUUAAAGUUGUUGCAGUUAAAAAGCUCGUAGUUGGAUAUCUGCUGGAAGCAAUCAGUCCGCCCUUUUAGUGAGGGUGUGUACUUGAUGAAUUCUGGCAUGAUUAUCUUCCCACUAAUAAUAUUAUUAUAUUAGGUUAAUUCCUAAUAUGGUAAUAAUUAUUUUUGGGAAGACACAGUUACUUUGAGAAAAUUAGAGUGUUUGAAGCAGGCUUGUUGCCUUGAAUACUGCAGCAUGGAAUAACAAUAUAGGAUUUCGGUUCUAUUUUGCUGGUUUCUAGGGAUGAAAUAAUGAUUAAUAGGGACAGUUGGGGGCAUUCGUAUUUAACUGUCAGAGGUGAAAUUCUUAGAUUUGUUAAAGACGAACUACUGCGAAAGCAUUUGCCAAAGAUGUUUUCAUUAAUCAAGAACGAAAGUUAGGGGCUCGAAGACGAUCAG